rnacentral:lncRNA from 1 species
GCCUGGACGGGGCUGCUGCUCAGGCUCUAACAAUUCAGCACGUGGCCCCCACCCCGCCCCAGCCAGGGCAGCUCGUCCCGCACCCCCAAAACCCAGCAGGACAACAGAACCCAGGGGCCGGCCGGGGGGUGGGGCAGGCCGGGCAGAGCCCAGGCAGGAGAGGGUAGGGGAGCUGCAAGGGGGCAGGGUGGGGUGGGCUUCAGGGGGAGGCACAGGGAGGAUGUGCUGCCUGGGAACAUCCUUGAAAGGAUCAAAGACGUUGUUCUGAUAUUCCGUCCCAGGAGGGGUACCAGGCCCACCCCAGCCGGGGCCGCCGGGCCGCCAGGCAGAGCCCGAGAGGCAAAGGUGCCAGAGGAACCCAGGCUGUGCACGCCAGCUCAGCGCUUGCCAUGGGCAUCCCUCUCACAUGAACGCAGCUCAUGUUUUAGCUGGAAAACAGAGAGAGGUUUGGAGGAUUCUAAUAAAAGUCACCCGGGAGCCCCCUGCCGGGGGGCCCCUCUGGGUGUCCCCUCGCGGCCAUGAUAAAGGGCCGAGGGCUCUGCCAGGCAGCCCCAGCACAGGCAUCUUCUCCUGGCCCGGGAUCCUGCAGAAGAGCACAAGGGCUGCAGAGCAGAGGCCGGACGACGCCAGCUCUCAGAGUCAGCACCAACCCCGUCAGGGUGACCACUGGGGACCCAUCCACGCCACAGAGAGGUGACAGGCUCUGGACUCAGGCUCCGGCCGAGCCGAGGCCGGGAGAAGGAGGAUCCCAGGACGAUGCACAGCCUGCAGCCCAGACCCAGGACCGGCCCACCGCAGAUCCACAGGUUUAAAGGGCACCGGCGAGAGCUGGCAUCACGGGCCCCAAGACCAAACUUCUGAGAAGCCCGGAAGAGGGGGUCCCGGAGGUGACCUCUGACCUCAUGACCCCCCCAACACCACCCCUGCCGACCACGGAAGGGUUUGAGUCCCCGACCAUGCGGGGUGGGGGGGUGGGGGGG